rnacentral:rRNA from 1 species
UGGGGAAUAUUGCACAAUGGGCGCAAGCCUGAUGCAGCCAUGCCGCGUGUAUGAAGAAGGCCUUCGGGUUGUAAAGUACUUUCAGCGAGGAGGAAGGCGGUAAGGUUAAUAACCUUAUCGAUUGACGUUACUCGCAGAAGAAGCACCGGCUAACUCCGUGCCAGCAGCCGCGGUAAUACGGAGGGUGCAAGCGUUAAUCGGAAUUACUGGGCGUAAAGCGCACGCAGGCGGUCUGUCAAGUCGGAUGUGAAAUCCCCGGGCUCAACCUGGGAACUGCAUUCGAAACUGGCAGGCUAGAGUCUUGUAGAGGGGGGUAGAAUUCCAGGUGUAGCGGUGAAAUGCGUAGAGAUCUGGAGGAAUACCGGUGGCGAAGGCGGCCCCCUGGACAAAGACUGACGCUCAGGUACGAAAGCGUGGGGAGCAAACA